rnacentral:tRNA from 1 species
AAUAUAACAUAACGGUAAUGUGUGGAAUUGCAAAUUCUAAAAUAAGAGUUCGAUUCUCUUUCUU